rnacentral:rRNA from 1 species
CUAAUACAUGCAAGUCGAACGGGGAAAGUAGCAAUAUGAGUACUAGUGGCGCACGGGUGAGGAAUACAUGGGUAAUCUGCCCUCAAGUUCGGGAUAACCAGUCGAAAGAUUGGCUAAUACCGGAUAAGACCACAGGAUCUGCGGAUCUAGGGGUCAAAGUUUUUCGCUUGAGGAUGAGCCCAUGUGGGAUUAGCUAGUUGGUGAGGUAAUGGCUCACCAAGGCUACGAUCCCUAACUGGUCUUAGAGGAUGAUCAGUCACACUGGAACUGAGACACGGACCAGUCUCCUACGGGAGGCAGCAGUGAGGAAUAUUGGACAAUGGGCGCAAGCCUGAUCCAGCCAUGCCGCGUGCAGGAUGACGGUCCUAUGGAUUGUAAACUGCUUUUAUACGAGAAGAAACACUACUUCGUGAAGUAGCUUGACGGUAUCGUAAGAAUAAGGAUCGGCUAACUCCGUGCCAGCAGCCGCGGUAAUACGGAGGAUCCAAGCGUUAUCCGGAAUCAUUGGGUUUAAAGGGUCCGUAGGCGGUUUAAUAAGUCAGUGGUGAAAGCCCAUCGCUCAACGGUGGAACGGCCAUUGAUACUGUUAAACUUGAAUUAUUAGGAAGUAACUAGAAUAUGUAGUGUAGCGGUGAAAUGCUUAGAGAUUACAUGGAAUACCAAUUGCGAAGGCGGGUUACUACUAAUGGAUUGACG